rnacentral:rRNA from 1 species
CCUACGGGAGGCAGCAGUGGGGAAUUUUCCGCAAUGGGCGAAAGCCUGACGGAGCGACGCUGCGUGAAGGAUGACGGCCUGCGGGUUGUAAACUUCUUUUCUCGAAGAAGAAUAAAUGACGGUAUUCGAGGAAUAAGCAUCGGCUAACUCUGUGCCAGCAGCCGCGGUAAGACAGAGGAUGCAAGUGUUAUUCGGAUUGAUUGGGCGUAAAGCGUCUGUAGGCGGUUUGGAAAGUCUUUUGUGAAAUUCUUCAGCUCAACUGGGGGUCCGCAAAAGAAACUUCUAGGCUUGAGGGAAGUAGAGGUACAGGGAAUUUCCGGUGGAGCGGUGAAAUGCGUAGAUAUCGGGAGGAACACCAAUAUGGCGAAGGCACUGUACUGGGCUUUUCCUGACGCUGAGAGACGAAAGCUAAAGGAGUGAUUAGGAUUAGAUACCCUAGUAAUUUUAGCCGUAAACGAUGGAAACUCACUGCCGAGCGAAAUACAACGAGCGGUGGUCAAGCUAACGCGUGAAGUUUCCCGCCUGGGGAUUACGCUUGCAAAAGUGAAACUCAAAGGAAUUGACGGA